rnacentral:lncRNA from 1 species
UACAUUCAAAUAUAUGCCCUCUCAUUUACCAUGAGCAAAUUAAUUACUCUUUUUUCUCAUUUGUAAAUAGUAGAAUAAUCUUUGUCCUGUUCACAGUGGAAAGCACAUGAGCUUACAAGUCAGGAAGAAGGUGUGAUGACAUAGAUUCCCGGGGACAAUGCCAAGUGAUGACAGACACAGACACUGGAGUGAUACAGUACAAGCCCAGGAACACUAAGGAUCCAUGACCACCAUCAGAAGCCACAAAGAUGCAAGGAAGGAUUCUCCCCUACAUGUUUCAGCGGAAGCAUGUUUCUGUGGCCACAUUCAUUUCAGAGUUCUAGCUUCCACAAGUCUUCCAGGUAACACCUGCAUUUCUUGGCUCACGGCCUCCUACCUCCAUCAUCAAAACCAGUAGCAAUGAAUUGAGUCCAUUUCAUAUUGCAUCUGUUGACACUCUUCCUCUUCCUCCUCUGCUUUCACUUUUAAGGACUCAUACGACUAAAUUUGGCCCAAACUAAAUUGGGCAAAAAUAAUCUCUGUAUGUCUUCAUUUCUUCCUGUGGCUUAAUUUAUCUAGUGUUAUCUCUUUCUCCAUUACUCAGUUAUUACCUCUCUCAGUUAUUACCUCUUGCCUACUUAAUGCUGUUAUUAUUGAAAAGAUUAUACAUCUCUUGUGUGCUGCCCUCCUCCUCCCAGAUUCAUGUAUUUAAGACAUAAUCCCCAGGAGAUCAGAAUGUGACCAUAUUUGGAGCUAAGGUCUAUAAGGUAAAAUGAGAUACUUAGAGUAGGCCCUAAUCUAAUCUGUCUGAUAUCCUUAUAAGAAGAGAAAAUUUUUAUACAGACCUGUGUAUAUGAAGGAUAUUGUGAAGACAGAGAAAGAAGACAGUUAUGUAAAAGUCAAGGAGUGAGGUCUCAGAAGUAAUCAGUUAUGCCAACACCUUGAUCUUGGACUUCUAGGCUCCAGAAAUAAAAGAAAAGGAAUUUCUGUUGUUUAAAUCACCCAGCCUGUGGUACUUUGUUAUUGAGGCAGAAGAGAACUAAUAUAAUGUGCAUGUAAUGCAAGCCCAGUAAUAAAAUUAUAUCAGUAUAUGUGGAUAUCUGUGUCUCUAUCUGGAAUCCACACAAAAGACUGAAUGUUGGCAAAGGUAAUUACGUAUGUAAUUAAUGAAGACAAUAUACUACAUAAAACUAUCUCCAUCUUUACAGGUAACUAGUUUUCUAGGGCUGCUACAAUAAAGUCCACACAUGGGGUGACUUGAAACAUUCUUGCUCAGUUUUGGAGAUUAGAAGUCUGAGGCCCCAGUGUUCGCAGUAUCAUGCUCUCCUUAGACUCCAUAGAAUUCUUCUUUCUUCUUUGCCUAUUCUUGGCUUCUAGGAGUGGUCCUAGUGAUUCGUGCUCAUUGGCUUACAGCUACAUCACUCUAAUCUCUGCAUCUGUCAUUAGAUAAACUUCUCUCUGAGUGUCUAUAUAUCUUUACAUGGCUGUCUUCUUGUGUCUCUUUCCUUUUCUUAUUAGGACAUCAGCAAUGUUAGAUUAGAAUCCAUCCUAAUAACCUCAUCUUAACUUGAUUAUUUCUGCAAAGACUAUGUCUAUAUAAGGUCACAUACACAGGUACCCAAUAUUAAUACUUAAACAUAUCUUUUGGGGUACAAAAUAUAACCCAAUCUCUCUAUUUAUCUAACUUUUUUUAUCUGGUAUCUAUUUAAUCCAUCUAUUUAUGUAUCUGUCAAUCACCAUCAAUUUCACCUGUAUAGUUUCCUGCAACUAAUUUUAAUUUGUUAACAAAAAAGAAAAUUAAUGUGAUCAUGUGAUCGUAAUUAAAAAAAAAUAAUCACCUAUAUAGUUACCUUUACCAACACUCAUUUUUUGUGUGUAUGUCUGUAGGUUUGGAUUACCAUGUGCUGCCACUGCUUUUAGCCUAAAGGACUUCUUUAGUAUUUCUUGCAAGGCAGAUUUUUUUAGUGAAAAAUUCAGUUUUUGCUUAUCUUACAAUUAUUUUAUUUUAUCUUUAUUUUUGAAAAAUAGUUUUCUUCUGGGUACUAGAUUCUUUUUUCCUUUCUUUCUUCCUCUCUUUCUUUCUUUUUUCUUCUUUCUCUCUUAAACUUCAAAUAGAUCAUCCCACUUUCUACUGUCUUCUGAGAAGUCAGUUGUUAAUCUUUCAGGAGGUUUCUGGUAUGUAAUGAAUUGUUUUUCUCCUCAUGUUUUAAAAAUCUCAUUUUUACCUUUGGCUUUCAGCAUUUUGGCUGUUACAACAGGCUGUGGAUCUCCACAUUUUGGCUGUUAUGUCUGGCUGUGGAUCUCUGCAUUUAUUCCAAUUGAAGUUUGCUAAAUUUUCGAAUGUGUAGAUUGUUACUAUUUUAAUAAAAUCUGACAGGUUUUCAAUUACUAUUUUCUCAAAAAGUUUUCCUUCCACCUUCUUCUCUUCUCUCCUUCUGGCACUUCCGGAAGCAUUUUGUGAGUGCACUUAAUGAUAUCCCACAUUUUUCUAAGAGUCUGUUUAUUUGUCUGUAUUCUUUUUUCUACUUGAUCUUUAGAUUGCAUAAUAUCUAUUGAUCUAUAUUCAAGUGUGCUGAGAUUUUCUUCUGCCAGUUCGAAGCUGCUAUAAGACUUUUACUGUGUUUUUUAUUUUAUUUUAUUUUCAACUACAAAAUUUCCAUUUGUUUCCUUUUUAUAAAAUGUUAUGAAUAUUUUCUGUGUGAUAUUCUCUAUUGAACGAGACAUUGGCAUUGUAACAUCAUUUAAUUCCUCAGACAUGAUUAUAUUCAGUUCUUUGAACGUAUUUAUAAUGGCUACUUUGAAGUCUAUCUGCUAAUGUCAACCUCUGGGUCUAUUUUUUCUAUAUAUACAUUUCAUAUUUUCCUUUUUUCUUUUCUGAUAACUUUUUUUUGAAAUCUGGAUGUUUUGGGUAAUAUAUUGUAACAAUCCAGGACCAUAACUCUCCUUGCCCCUUCGAGGUUAAUGUUGUGUUUAUUUCAUUUCACUAACUUAUUUGUUUAGUCAUCUGGCCAAGAUUACUUUAUAUAAUCUUUUUCCAUUUUUAGUUUCUUCUUUCAGUGUGAAAUCUCUCAUGACCAUCCUUCGGUUUUGUUUCAUUUUUUUUGUCUGACUAUAUAGGGAUUGCCCAGGGUCAGCAUAAACCACUUCUUGGUCAAAAUUUGCACUUAAUUACCACUGGCACUCCAGAUAUUUACUCUUUACAACUUAAUGUAUUUAUUGUUGGAAACUCUCUGAGUUUCAGAAGUUUACAUCUCCUCCACCCCCCAUUUAGUCCAGAGGUAGUAGCAUAGAUUUUUCACUUCUUAGAGGCAGCCUUGGGUAUGUACACAUUCUUCCAGACUGCAAACAUUGUGUGCAAUUUUGUUUAUUUAUUUGUUUUGAAAUGGAGUUUUGCUCUUAUUUC